rnacentral:lncRNA from 1 species
AGAACAAACAUCUCAAAAAUAACUACGUAGGUUGUUUUUUUAAAUAUUUCAUAGUCAUUAUAUAUUGUGUUUGUUGAUAUAAAGUUUCUCAACAAAUGUGAAAAAGCGAAAAAAAAAACUGAGGAAAAGAGGGAAAAUGUAUGAAAUAUAGGUAUUAGCUAAAAAUAUUAUGGCCUUCUUUUUUCUUGUGGGCAACUUUUCUGUCAGCAAUUUUCCGACAACUUAUAAUGAUAAAGAAGGAUAAAUCCUAAAAGGAAAUUUCAAUGGAAAGAUACUUAAAAUAAAUUUUUUUCCAAUUUUCUCAGAAGUUCCCAAUAAAUGUAAAAAACCGAAAAAAACGGAGGAAUACCAGAAAAACGGGAUCCAUUUUAAUUUUUAAAUUGGAAUAAUCGGAAUUUUACCAUAAUAUUACAUAUUAUUGUUGACAAAGCAGCACGCCUAGGCUACUGAAAAUUGGUAUAACAUUAAACAAAUAUUAAAUAAAACGUUUUUUUUUUUUUCGAAUCGUUUUUUCGUUAGCAAUGGUUUAUCAUUGCUUACAGGUGUACAUUAAAUUUCUUAAAACGGUGGCUGCGCCCGUCCCUAUUAUCCUANUUCUCAGAAGUUCUCAAUAAAUGUAAAAAACCGAAAAAAACCGAGGAAUACCGGAAAAACAGGAUCCACUUUUAAUUUGGAAUUUGGAAUAAUUAGAAUUUUACCAUAAUAUUACAUAUUAUUGAUAACAAAGCAGCACGCCUAGGCUACUGAAAAUUGGUAUAACAUAAAAUAAAUAUUAAAUAAAACCCAUUUAAUUAUUUUACUAUAAAAUGACAUAUAUAUUGUUGACAUAGCAUCAAUAUCAAUUGAACUCCGUUUAGAAUCGUUUUUUCGUUAGCAAUGGUUUAUCAUUGCUUACAGGUGUACAUUAAAUUUCAUAAAACGGUGGCUGUGCCCGUCCCUAUUAUCCUAGGGCGUCUUUUUAUUAUAUUCUUCGCCUAAUAAUUAACAUAAAAAUACAAUUUUAAAUAACAUAAAAGAAUAUCUACUUAUUAUUUAAUACUUUUUAUAAUAGAUGGCAUUCUAUAGGCAACAAUUGUAUCUUUGAUCGUGGUACCUUAAGCAAGUAUACUUUAAUUUGAUUCAUUAAAUAGACAAAAGGUUUNGUCUUUUUAUUAUAUUCUUCGCCUAAUAAUUAACAUAAAAAUACAAUUUUAAAUAACAUAAAAGAAUAUCUACUAAUUAUUUAAUACUUUUUAUAAUAGAUGACAAUCAAUAGGCAACAAUUGUGUCGUUGAUCGUGGUACCUUAAGCAAGUAUACUUUAAUUUGAUUCAUUAAAUAGACAAAAGGUUUUAGAAGUUUAAAUACAAAUAAAUUAUUGCACAAAUUAAUCAUAUGUUUUCGCUUUUUUUGUACCUACUGAUGAUUUUGUAAAACUAUAACCUGUGGUAAACACACACAACAUUAUACAAUAUUCUAGGCUUUUAUAAUGAUAUUUUAGAUUUUUUAUUUAGACAAAAUUUAUAUGUUGUAUAUAUAAUAUUAUCAUAAACCUCAUAACGUUAACAUUAUUUAACAGUGGUGUAUAUAGGAAAAGGCGCAGUGGGCCAUAGAACCUCUAGAAAUUUCUUUCAAGCACUUUUAAAAUUAACAGGAAUGUGACAUUUUUUUCCGUAAAUCGUCUAAAACAAGUUAAUCAUUUCCUAUAUUAUAUGUUUCAAAUUAAAUACUGAUCAGUGAUUACCCUGUUUAGUAAAAUAUUUUUUAAAGCCAGAGUUUUUGAAUUUCAUUUAUUAUCAUAAUAAUAAAGGUUUUACUAACGGUUAUCUAGAUAAAGGUGGUUUUACCUUAUCAUUAAGACAAAUUAGGUUAAGUUCGAAAACACAGGUAGGUGAUUGUAGCAGAUUGAUGUAAAUAGCACUGUUAAACAGAAACCCACACACAAUCUCUGUCUAUUUUCUCACAUUUGUCUACGAUCGAAACCUAAGUAUUUUCAUCUUCGUUUACACUCAUUCUCUGUUAUAUUUUCUAUACAAUUAGCAGUUACCAUAAUAUUUUUUUUUUUUUUUUUUUAAUCUAGUGCCACAUAGGAUCCAAAGUCUCGAAUUUAUUACAGAAAUAUUACAAUAUUAAAGUUUAAUUAUAUACAUUUCAUGAACCAUUAUGAACAUGGUAGUGUAAUAUGGUAUUUACUAUUUCGCCUAUCGAAUUUUAUUUACUAAUUUAUUAUUAACGAUUACAAUAAUAUUACUGUUACAUUUUUUUCAUAAUAUUUUAAGUACAUUAUCUAUAACAUUUAUUAUUGUACUAUUACAUAUUAAAUAUCAUCUAUCUUAUAAGUUUAAUGAUAUUAAAUGCGAUUGAUAAUACAAAA